UCCGCGAGGCCGGCAUCGCCGAAAGUCCCCGCGGUUUGCAUUCGGCCAUUUGGACGUUUUUCGCGAAAAUUUUUAACCAUUCCGCGAGUUUCCGCGCUCUCUGUGCCUCGAAACGUGGCGGAUCCGCGAGAAGCAGCGCCGACUCGCGUCGAGUUCGCAUUCAAAAAUACGAACUCUUUCGCGCACGUGCUUCGUUGCCAGUGGACGAAUCUCGUCGUGACACCAGCAAGAUGUGACGUCCGUGCCCAGUGUACAAAAGUGCAGCUGGCACGUAUGAAUGUGCACGGGGGACGUGCUCGAGAAGAGGCGGAAGUUUCAUUCCCACCGGAAGUAGAAGAGGCCCGCCGGAAGAAAACAUGAAGCGCGCCAGGCAGCUUGACAAGGAGAACGACCAACCCGAUAAGAUCGGGAAUUUCAACAACGCCGGGGAGGAAAUUAACAUGUCAUUGGAGAACAAAACAGAAGGGGACAUUAUAAACGAGGCGUUGUUUGAAAAACUCGAAAUCUAUGCGCAGGCGCCGCAAGAAAACGUGGAUGCGAUUCGAUCGCAUUUGGUCAAAAUCCACGCACGGAUCACGUCAUCGGAACGACGGAUAAGGGAGUACGCCCAGCAAAUGCUAUGGCGCGAAAAUUCGGACGCUGUGAAGACGUUCCUCAAGAUUCUAGAGAAUUGCAAGGACAACGUUGCAAAUUGUAGCGCGGUCAGCAUUAUCCACGAGUGCAUCUCGCCUCGGACUUCCAAAGUAAAAUGCAAAGGAUUCAAGCACAAGAAUGCGACUAGAAACAAUUGUCGAGCGGCGAUCACCCAGCUGAUUAAUUUUGGAGGUACGCAAGUCAUGAUAAAACUUCUCAACAAUUUGCAACGCAGAGACAUAGGCGUGGUCGAAAUGCUUCUGCAAGAAGUUCUUUACAUUCUGGGGCAAGUAGCUCAGAGGGAUCACAAGUUUGCGACAAAGGUGAAGUCGCUCAACGCCACAAAGUCAUUCCACUCCUUGUUGAAGGAGCACUACAACGAUAGCAGGACUCUUCUCCCAUUGUUGCUGAUCGUCAAGGCCCUUGCCAGGAAUCCGUUUUCUCAGCAGGUAUUGAUCAAAGAUGGGAUUGCUGGUACUUUGGAAAAAACGCUGGUCAGCCUCGGAUAUACCCCGCACCUGAAGAUGAAGACCUUGCUCGAGAGCUUCAAGUAUUUCACGAUAAACAAGCUUUACUGUAUGAAAUUCGUGAAAGCCGGCAUCGUCCACUCGUUGAUGAGGAUUUUCGAAAGGUGGAAUAGAUUCGACGGGCCCAUGAGGCUGAAAAUUUGCAAUUACGCCCUGAACACGAUGCAGCACAUUUGCAUGAUGAAAUCGGGGAGGAAGGCGAUUAAGUCGAACAAUGGGCUGCAAGUGUUGUACAGAUUCUCCACCAGUUGUCCAGAAGACAAGGCUUACGACACUUUGUUGUCACGAGUGUACGCGAUAUUUAAUCAGUGCCUCGAGAAAAAGGAAUUGCCAGUGCCCGAAAUGUCGCCCGCAAGGUUUAUCCUGCCAGUAACAAGUACCAGGAUGAACAGUGCGGACAGUUGCAGUGACAUCGACAGUCAGGUGAACGGUGUCGCUGGGUUGGACAAAUACUACAGCGACGCAGACUCGGAUAUCGACGAGGACGAUGACGACUCGAAGAAUUCAAGAAAACCGCGAGAAACAGACCUCGUUGAUGAAAUCGACGAGAAUAAUUUUUUCUCGGGUGUCAUUACCUCUUUACGAUCGGAAGAAGACCUGAUGGGGUACCACGUCUUCUAUCGAGAAUUAGGUGACAGACAAGCCCAGCUGUCUCUUGGGAGGUCCUUCCUAGAAAGACUUUUCCAGCUACCCGGCACCAUGGAGGACAAUAAACGGUCCUAUCACCAAGCCUUAAACAAAUUAAUAAUGAUCGGAAACAAGUCCUCCAGCAAUGGAGCGAGCGAGAAAAUUUCAGCGACCGACAAUUCCCAGAGAAUUCAUAUUUCGGGAACGCCGAAGGUCUUUGAUAACCUGACCAAGCAAAUGUCCGACAAGCACGUGUACUGUCUUGUUGCCAGUGCUGUCAAGAGUGUCAUCGGUUUUGUCAAGGUGGCUUAUCCAGACCUCGUGGGUGGUCGAGGUUCCGGAAAAUUGGAGCCCUUGAACAGGAAGGACCGAAAAGUCUGUCGCUCCAAAUUGUUGGUCUGCCUUGAUCGAAACCUCCACCCUGACAACUUCACCCAUGUGACCGUCUACGAUUUGGACGAGUUGUCAUCCAGUCCAGGAAAUAAUACAACCCCCAAGCUGCUCUGCAACUGGGACGAGGAAAGGGUUGGUAUGCAAGGGAACGACUCGAAGCAGCUGCAGUUUGAGUCCAGGUUCGAGAGCGGGAAUCUCAGGAAAGCCAUCCAGAUAGGUCUCAGGGAGUACGAGCUGAUCUUAUCGCCGGAUGUGAACAGUGGAUCGCGACAUCAGUGGUUCUACUUCGAGGUCUCCAACAUGGAUGCCAACGUGCCGUACACAUUCGACAUCGUCAACUGUGAGAAAGCGAACUCUCAGUUCAACUUCGGCAUGAAGCCGAUCUUGUUCAGCGUGAAGGAGUCCCAGCUGGGGAGACCAGGAUGGAUCAGGACCGGGGUGGACAUUUGUUACUACAGGAACUGCUAUCAACGUCCAGCAAGAGGGAAGAACUAUCUAACGACUUCGUUCACGAUAAACUUCCCUCACAGCUACGACGUCUGUUACGUUGCCUAUCAUUUCCCCUACACGUAUAGUCAGCUGAUGACUAGCAUUUGGAAGUGGUCCAAAGAGUUAGACUCCAGCAGCAUCCUCUUCAGGGCGGAGCCUUUCUGCACGAGUCUGAACACCAACGAGAGUCCAUUGUUGACCAUCACGGCUCCUGAUUCUAAAAGCAACUCAAUGCACAACCGAAAGAUGAUCUUCCUAACCUCCAGAGUGCACCCUGGAGAGAGCAACUCGUCGUGGAUCAUGCAUGGCACCUUGGAAGCUCUUCUAAGUCCUUCCGAUUAUGCCAGCAGCCUUCGAGAUGACUACAUCUUCAAGGUUGUUCCUAUGCUGAACAUCGAAGGUGUGGUCAACGGCUGCAACCGAUACGGUCUUACCAAUGAGGACCUCAACAGGCGCUGGAGUAAUCCCGACCAAGUGCUUCAUCCUGUAAUAUACCACACCAAAGGGCUGAUGGAGUACUCGACAAAGGUCUUGCAGAGGCCUCUUCACGUGUUCGUGGACUAUCAUGGACAUUCUCGAAGGAAAAAUGUAUUUUUGUUCGGCUGCUCGAAGUCGGGCUCCUGGAGCGCGGCGGACAGGUCCAAGCCGGACCAGCCGAUGCAGUAUUUGAUGCUGCCGCACUUGAUGCAGAAAAUCUCGCCGGCGUUCGCAAUGUCGCUCUGCUCGUUCAAAGUGGAGAGGAAGAAGGAAUCCACGGCCAGAGUCGCGAUUUGGCGCCAGUUGGGAGUCUCGAGCAGAAGUUACACGAUGGAGAGCAGUUUCUGCGGCUGCGACCAGGGUCCUUUGGCAGGAUUCCACCUGGACACGAAACACCUGAAGGAUAUAGGCAUCGAUUUUUGUCAAGCCUUGUCGAUGAUGAAGGACGGGGGUGAAGAGUGGAACGUUGAUAUGUCCGGAGAGGAGUCCUGUUGCCCUCUGAAAUGCAUUUUAGGGAAGUCUAAGAAACCGCCGAAGUGCAUUCAGGACAAAGACGCGAAGUACCAUUUUACGGAAACCUCGUUGUUCCGAAAAGACAUGUAGUUGAAGGCCAAGAACCACCACCAGGGAAGAAUUUUCAGUUGGAGUGGGUGGUGCGAAUGAUGAAGGGUCAUCAAGCGGUUCUGACGAUUCAGUUUCUGAUGAUUAAACUUAAUUAAAACGAAGGCUUUAAUCGUUAUAUCCUACGGAGCUUAUUUCGUGCGGCUCAUUCGUUGACUCGAGUACUGUUCUAGAUUAUUUUCAUAAAACGAUCCCCCAGUUUUUGUCUCCUCGAAUUAAUCACCUGCACCUCGGCGUAAAUUGGGCCGUACUUGGAGUGAUAAAAAUCUGCACAACUAAUUAAUGUGAGAGCCUGAUUAGAAAUCCUGGGCAGGGCAAAAGGUACAGAAAUACCCUGAUGCAUAUUAAACAAUUAAAAAAAAAAGCAUAGAUGUAAAGUGACUCAGGUAAGAAGAAUUAAUGUACCGGUACAAACUUCAGAAAAUAUAUCUUUGUGGAUAAACUUGAA
rnacentral:misc_RNA from 1 species